rnacentral:rRNA from 1 species
UACGAAGGGGGCUAGCGUUGCUCGGAAUCACUGGGCGUAAAGCGCACGUAGGCGGCUUGUUAAGUCAGGGGUGAAAUCCUGGAGCUCAACUCCAGAACUGCCUUUGAUACUGGCGAUCUUGAGUCCGGGAGAGGUGAGUGGAACUGCGAGUGUAGAGGUGAAAUACGUAGAUAUUCGCAAGAACACCAGUGGCGAAGGCGGCUCACUGGCCCGGUACUGACGCUGAGGUGCGAAAGCGUGGGGAGCAAACAGG